UAGUCCACGCCGUAAACGAUGUCUACUAGCCGUUGGGGAACUUGAUUCCUUAGUGGCGCAGCUAACGCACUAAGUAGACCGCCUGGGGAGUACGGUCGCAAGAUUAAAACUCAAAUGAAUUGACGGGGGCCCGCACAAGCGGUGGAGCAUGUGGUUUAAUUCGAUGCAACGCGAAGAACCUUACCAAGACUUGACAUCCUGCGAAUUUACUAGAGAUAGUUUAGUGCCUUCGGGAACGCAGUGACAGGUGCUGCAUGGCUGUCGUCAGCUCGUGUUGUGAAAUGUUGGGUUAAGUCCCGUAACGAGCGCAACCCUUGUCCUUAGUUGCUACCAUUAAGUUGAGAACUCUAAGGAGACUGCCGGUGACAAACCGGAGGAAGGUGGGGACGACGUCAAGUCAUCAUGGCCCUUACGUCUUGGGCUACACACGUGCUACAAUGGUCGGUACAAAGAGUUGCCAAGCCGCGAGGUGGAGCUAAUCUCAUAAAACCGAUCGUAGUCCGGAUUGGAGUCUGC
rnacentral:rRNA from 1 species